AACGAACGCUGGCGGCAUGCCUAACACAUGCAAGUCGAACGAGACCUUCGGGUCUAGUGGCGCACGGGUGCGUAACGCGUGGGAACCUGCCCUUAGGUUCGGAAUAACUCCCCGAAAGGGGUGCUAAUACCGGAUAAUGUCUUCGGACCAAAGAUUUAUCGCCUUUGGAUGGGCCCGCGUUGGAUUAGCUAGUUGGUAGGGUAAAAGCCUACCAAGGCGACGAUCCAUAGCUGGUCUGAGAGGAUGAUCAGCUACACUGGGACUGAGACACAGCCCAGAAUCCUACGGAAGGCAGCAGUGGGGAAUAUUGGACAAGGGGGGAAGGUCUGAUCCAGCAAUGCCGGGUAAGUGAUGAAGGCCGUAGGGUAGUAAAGCUCUUUUACCCGGGAUGAUAAUGACAGUACCGGGAGAAUAAGCACCGGCUAACUACGUG
rnacentral:rRNA from 1 species